rnacentral:rRNA from 1 species
AUGAGACGUGCGGCAUUUGCAGGCCCGACGGCUGAUGUCGAGGAAGGAGACCAGCAGUUGAGCACAUGUAUUGUACCACCACCACGGUGGCCUCCUCUCCUUACCCAUCACCAUAGUGUUCAAAGUCAAACAGAAGAUCCUUCUCCAGACCAUCUACCCAACUCCAGCAGCUUCUCUGACCACGAUGGCACACCAUCUCAACUACAGCAGCUUCUUCUGCAGCCACCAUGGCCAAAGCAGAGAGCACGCAGUCGGGUUUAUUUGGAUCUCAGGGUAGCCCCUCCAACUAAUCAUCGGUAA